rnacentral:rRNA from 1 species
UACGGAGGGUGCAAGCGUUAUCCGGAUUUACUGGGUUUAAAGGGUGCGUAGGUGGAUUGGGUAGUCAGUGGUGAAAUACUUUCGCUUAACGAAGGAACUGCCAUUGAUACUCUCAAUCUUGAAUACAGUGGAGGCAGGCGGAAUGUGUCAUGUAGCGGUGAAAUGCUUAGAUAUGACACAGAACACCUAUUGCGAAGGCAGCUUGCUACACUGUGAUUGACACUGAGGCACGAAAGCGUGGGGAGCAAACAGG